UACGUAGGGUGCAGGCGUUAAUCGGAAUUACUGGGCGUAAAGCGUGCGCAGGCGGUUUCUUAAGUCAGAUGUGAAAGCCCCGGGCUUAACCUGGGAACUGCGUUUGAAACUGGGAGACUUGAGUGUGGCAGAGGGGGGUGGAAUUCCACGUGUAGCAGUGAAAUGCGUAGAUAUGUGGAGGAACACCGAUGGCGAAGGCAGCCCCCUGGGCCAAUACUGACGCUCAGGCACGAAAGCGUGGGGAGCAAACAGG
rnacentral:rRNA from 1 species